AACAGACUGUCUGGGCAGAAAUGCGCUCACACGUGACACAACAGACAAUAACAGAAAUCCACAGUUUCCAAGGACAAAUGCGCAUAAGUUGCAGGUCAAUCAAGCUCACUGUGGCCAAGGCAUGAAAGAAUUUGUCAGCACGAUUGAUGGAGAGGCUGGGGUGGUGGACACUGGGCAUUGGGAGCCAUCUCUCUGCAGACAGCAGUGUUUCUCGAGUGCUGUUUCUUUGAAGAAGAAGGAGACAGUCGUUGGCUUCUCUGAUACAUUUAGCUUCACUGUGCUGAAGCAGAACUCCAACAAGCUUCACUGAGAAGGGUGCAUGGGACAACCUGCCUCCGCAGCUCUGUUCUUGGUAGUUUUCCCAAGGCAAGAAGGUGUAAUGAUGACAGGGAAGUAAGGACAGCUGAUGAGGAACGCUUGCGUUAAGGAAUACGAACAUUGAUACCUGGGACCAACGCCUAGUUCAGAGAAGAGGCCUGAAGAUGGGUAUUGUUGGCAAAUCCUGAUCCUAAUGAUAUCCUCUCCUUCAAGCUGCCAGGUCCAGUGGAAUCUUCCAGCAAUAGCAGGCCACACCGACUUCGCCUGGAAACAAUGGGCAUUUCACACCUCCAUCUACCUUUGCUGAAUGCCUGCUCCGUGUGAGUGCUGCUCCAGGCUCCUGUAAUGCAGAAAUAGUAAACUGCACAAAAUAGGGAUGUCCUAUGACAAUUUAUUGAAAGAGAAAUCACUUACUUGAAAAGCCAAAAAAGCUGAGAACCAAAGGUCCACAUGCUGCUCUCCGAGUCAGUGCCCGGCGGGUGUCGGUGGCACACGCCUUUAAUCCCAGCAGAGGCAGAGGCAGGCGGAUCUCUGGGAGUUAGAGGACAGCCUGGUCUACAGAGCGAGUUCCAGUACAGCCUCCAAAACAAUACAGAGAAACCCUGUCUCGAAAAACCAAAAAACCAAAAAACAAACAAAAACCCCCAAAAUCCAAAGAGCAAGAGUCUCCUCUCCCUAGCUUUAUUUAUACCCAUACAUUCU